GAUGAACGCUAGCGGCAGGCCUAAUACAUGCAAGUCGAACGGUGUAGCAAUACACAGUGGCGCACGGGUGCGUAACACGUAUGCAACCUACCUUACAUUGGGGGAUAGCCUUUCGAAAGGGAGAUUAAUACCGCAUAAGACAGUAACUGGGCAUCCAGUAGCUGUUAAAGAUUUAUCGAUGUAAGCUGGGCAUGCGUCCAAUUAGUUAGUUGGCGAGGUAAUGGCUCACCAAGACGAUGAUUGGUAGGGGAACUGAGAGGUCAAUCCCCCACACUGGCACUGAGAUACGGGCCAGACUCCUACGGGAGGCAGCAGUAGGGAAUAUUGGGCAAUGGGCGCAAGCCUGACCCAGCCAUGCCGCGUGCAGGAAGAAGGCGUUAUGCGUUGUAAACUGCUUUUAUACAGGAAGAAACGACCCUUGCGAGGGGCAUUGACGGUACUGUAUGAAUAAGCACCGGCUAAUUCCGUGCCAGCCGCCGCGGUAAAAC
rnacentral:rRNA from 1 species